UAGGAACACAAUAUUCCUACACUGGACCUA
rnacentral:piRNA from 1 species